GGAAGCGUGGUAGAGCGGCUUAUUACACCGGUCUUGAAAACCGGAGGCCGUAGUGAUACGGUCCGUGGGUUCGAAUCCCACCGCUUCCU
rnacentral:tRNA from 2 species